CCUACGGGUGGCAGCAGUAAGGAAUAUUGCUCAAUGGGCGAAACCCUGAACCAGCAACGCCGCGUGGGGGAUGAAGGUUUUAGGAUUGUUAACUCCUUUUUUUAGAGAAGUUUAUGACGGUAUCUAACGAAUUAUCACCGUCUAACUCCGUUCCAGCAGCCGUGGUAAUACGGAGGGUGCAAGCGUUACUCGGAAUCACUGGGCGUAAAGCGUGCGUAGGCGGGUUAAUAAGUCAGAUGUGAAAUCCUGUAGCUUAACUACAGAACUGCAUUUGAAACUGUUACUCUGGAGUUUGGGAGAGGUAGGUGGAAUUCUUGGUGUAGGGGUAAAAUCCGUAGAGAUCAAGAGGAAUACUCAUUGCGAAGGCAACCUGCUGGAACAUUACUGACGCUGAUGCACGAAAGCGUGGGGAGCAAACAGGAUUAGAUACCCGUGUAGUC
rnacentral:rRNA from 1 species